rnacentral:rRNA from 1 species
GACGAACGCUGGCGGCGUGCUUAACACAUGCAAGUCGAACGGAAAGGCCCUGCUUUUGUGGGGUGCUCGAGUGGCGAACGGGGGAGUAACACGUGAGUAACCUGCCCUUGACUUUGGGAUAACUUCAGGAAACUGGGGCUAAUACCGGAUAGGAGCUCCUGCUGCAUGGUGGGGGUUGGAAAGUUUCGGCGGUUGGGGCUGGACUCGCGGCUUAUCAGCUUGUUGGUGGGGUAGUGGCUUACCAAGGCUUUGACGGGUAGCCGGCCUGAGAGGGUGACCGGCCACAUUGGGACUGAGAUACGGCCCAGACUCCUACGGGAGGCAGCAGUGGGGAAUAUUGCACAAUGGGCGGAAGCCUGAUGCAGCAACGCCGCGUGCGGGAUGACGGCCUUCGGGUUGUAAACCGCUUUCGCCUGUGACGAAGCGUUAGUGACGGUAAUGGGUAAAGAAGCACCGGCUAACUACGUG